rnacentral:rRNA from 1 species
AGUAGGGCGGGACACGUGGUAUCCUGUCUGAAUAUGGGGGGACCAUCCUCCAAGGCUAAAUACUCCUGACUGACCGAUAGUGAACCAGUACCGUGAGGGAAAGGCGAAAAGAACCCCGGCGAGGGGAGUGAAAAAGAACCUGAAACCGUGUACGUACAAGCAGUGGGAGCACGCUUAGGCGUGUGACUGCGUACCUUUUGUAUAAUGGGUCAGCGACUUAUAUUCUGUAGCAAGGUUAACCGAAUAGGGGAGCCGAAGGGAAACCGAGUCUUAACUGGGCGUUAAGUUGCAGGGUAUAGACCCGAAACCCGGUGAUCUAGCCAUGGGCAGGUUGAAGGUUGGGUAACACUAACUGGAGGACCGAACCGACUAAUGUUGAAAAAUUAGCGGAUGACUUGUGGCUGGGGGUGAAAGGCCAAUCAAACCGGGAGAUAGCUGGUUCUCCCCGAAAGCUAUUUAGGUAGCGCCUCGUGAAUUCAUCUCCGGGGGUAGAGCACUGUUUCGGCAAGGGGGUCAUCCCGACUUACCAACCCGAUGCAAACUGCGAAUACCGGAGAAUGUUAUCACGGGAGACACACGGCGGGUGCUAACGUCCGUCGUGAAGAGGGAAACAACCCAGACCGCCAGCUAAGGUCCCAAAGUCAUGGUUAAGUGGGAAACGAUGUGGGAAGGCCCAGACAGCCAGGAUGUUGGCUUAGAAGCAGCCAUCAUUUAAAGAAAGCGUAAUAGCUCACUGGUCGAGUCGGCCUGCGCGGAAGAUGUAACGGGGCUAAACCAUGCACCGAAGCUGCGGCAGCGACGCUGAUGCGUUGUUGGGUAGGGGAGCGUUCUGUAAGCCUGCGAAGGUGUGCUGUGAGGCAUGCUGGAGGUAUCAGAAGUGCGAAUGCUGACAUAAGUAACGAUAAAGCGGGUGAAAAGCCCGCUCGCCGGAAGACCAAGGGUUCCUGUCCAACGUUAAUCGGGGCAGGGUGAGUCGACCCCUAAGGCGAGGCCGAAAGGCGUAGUCGAUGGGAAACAGGUUAAUAUUCCUGUACUUGGUGUUACUGCGAAGGGGGGACGGAGAAGGCUAUGUUGGCCGGGCGACGGUUGUCCCGGUUUAAGCGUGUAGGCUGGUUUUCCAGGCAAAUCCGGAAAAUCAAGGCUGAGGCGUGAUGACGAGGCACUACGGUGCUGAAGCAACAAAUGCCCUGCUUCCAGGAAAAGCCUCUAAGCAUCAGGUAACAUCAAAUCGUACCCCAAACCGACACAGGUGGUCAGGUAGAGAAUACCAAGGCGCUUGAGAGAACUCGGGUGAAGGAACUAGGCAAAAUGGUGCCGUAACUUCGGGAGAAGGCACGCUGAUAUGUAGGUGAAGUCCCUCGCGGAUGGAGCUGAAAUCAGUCGAAGAUACCAGCUGGCUGCAACUGUUUAUUAAAAACACAGCACUGUGCAAACACGAAAGUGGACGUAUACGGUGUGACGCCUGCCCGGUGCCGGAAGGUUAAUUGAUGGGGUUAGCGCAAGCGAAGCUCUUGAUCGAAGCCCCGGUAAACGGCGGCCGUAACUAUAACGGUCCUAAGGUAGCGAAAUUCCUUGUCGGGUAAGUUCCGACCUGCACGAAUGGCGUAAUGAUGGCCAGGCUGUCUCCACCCGAGACUCAGUGAAAUUGAACUCGCUGUGAAGAUGCAGUGUACCCGCGGCAAGACGGAAAGACCCCGUGAACCUUUACUAUAGCUUGACACUGAACAUUGAGCCUUGAUGUGUAGGAUAGGUGGGAGGCUUUGAAGUGUGGACGCCAGUCUGCAUGGAGCCGACCUUGAAAUACCACCCUU